rnacentral:rRNA from 1 species
GACGAACGCUGGCGGCGUGCUUAACACAUGCAAGUCGAGCGGUAAGGCCCUUUCGGGGUACGACGAGCGGCGAACGGGUGAGUAACACGUGGGUGACCUGCCCUCAGCUCUGGGAUAAGCCUGGGAAACCGGGUCUAAUACCGGAUAUGACUCCAUGACGCAUGUUGUGGGGUGGAAAGCCUUGUGCGGCUGAGGAUGGGCCCGCGGCCUAUCAGCUUGUUGGUGGGGUGAUGGCCUACCAAGGCGACGACGGGUAGCCGGCCUGAGAGGGCGACCGGCCACACUGGGACUGAGACACGGCCCAGACUCCUACGGGAGGCAGCAGUGGGGAAUCUUGCGCAAUGGGCGAAAGCCUGACGCAGCGACGCCGCGUGAGGGAUGACGGCCUGGUUGUAAC